UUGACUUUUACGACCUGAACGAUGAUGACUUCGUCAGUCUUCAGGAAAUUGCAACCACACUAGGCCACUCUGUGAACGAAGUUGAUCUGAUCGUCGCCUUCAACGCUACUGAUACCAACCAAGACGGCAAGCUGACUGAAGAGGAACUGUUAUCAUCAAAAGUGUUUGUGUUUGCUGAUGGCCCGGUUGAGCCCGACACCACACUUCCCCCACUGACCACACUUCCCCUGACCACACUUCCCCCACUGACCACUAAUGAUACUGUCACUGAACCCUGAAUGACCGGACCUCGAUAUGGUCGACCGCUCUAUCCGACCACAUGCUGAUUUUGUUAGUUCUGUUCACAUAGCAUAUAUUAUCUUUCCAAUAUUUCCAAACUGCUGUAAUUUGACACCAUUUUUAUUCGGUGUUUCACGGACAAAUUAAAAAAUUGGAAUAAAAAUAUUUUCCUGUCUUUGUCUUUUUUGUGUGACUUCAAAGUUUUUAAGGCUUAUCGAUCACAUAAAUGUAUGUCUUCAUCAGGAAAGGUUGCUGAGACAGUCUCAAGUUAGAAGAUCUUUAGAAGAAAAAGAUUGAUUCUGUCCGGAAAAAAAUUUGAAGAUGUUUUAAAAUUUUUAAGAUGUUCAAUUUGUGACUUGUAUUAUGGUAAUGAAUAUCUGUAUAGCUUGAGUUAUAUAAAAAAU